UAAUGGGUCAGCGACUUAUAUUCUGUAGCAAGGUUAACCGAAUAGGGGAGCCGGAGGGAAACCGAGUCUUAAUUGGGCGUUAAGUUGCAGGGUAUAGACCCGAAACCCGGUGAUCUAGCCAUGGGCAGGUUGAAGGUUGGGUAACACUAACUGGAGGACCGAACCGACUAAUGUUGAAAAAUUAGCGGAUGACCUGUGGCUGGGGGUGAAAGGCCAAUCAAACCGGGAGAUAGCUGGUUCUCCCCGAAAGCUAUUUAGGUAGCGCCUCGUGAAUUCAUCUCCGGGGGUAGAGCACUGUUUCGGCUAGGGGGCCAUCCCGGCUUACCAACCCGAUGCAAACUGCGAAUACCGGAGAAUGUUAUCACGGGAGACACACGGCGGGUGCUAACGUCCGUCGUGAAGAGGGAAACAACCCAGACCGCCAGCUAAGGUCCCAAAGUCAUGGUUAAGUGGGAAACGAUGUGGGAAGGCCCAGACAGCCAGGAUGUUGGCUUAGAAGCAGCCAUCAUUUAAAGAAAGCGUAAUAGCUCACUGGUCGAGUCGGCCUGCGCGGAAGAUGUAACGGGGCUAAACCAUGCACCGAAGCUGCGGCAGCGAACGUAUCACUUAAAGCGAUUCAGCGGGUUACGAUUGACGGAGCGAAGCGACGUCAAAGCGUAUACAAAGUCGAGUCGGUUUAAGGAUACGUU
rnacentral:rRNA from 1 species